AUUGAACGCUGGCGGCAUGCUUUACACAUGCAAGUCGAACGGCAGCACGGGCUUCGGCCUGGUGGCGAGUGGCGAACGGGUGAGUAAUGCAUCGGAACGUACCGUGUAAUGGGGGAUAACGUAGCGAAAGUUACGCUAAUACCGCAUACGCCCUGAGGGGGAAAGUGGGGGACCCGCAAGGCCUCACGUUAUACGAGCGGCCGAUGUCGGAUUAGCUAGUUGGUGGGGUAAAGCCUACCAAGGCGACGGAUCCGUAGCGGGUCUGAGAGGAUGAUCCGCCACACUGGGACUGAGACACGGCCCAGACUCCUACGGGAGGCAGCAGUGGGGAAUUUGGACAAUGGGGGCAACCCUGAUCCAGCCAUGCCGCGUGAGUGAA
rnacentral:rRNA from 1 species